rnacentral:rRNA from 1 species
CACGUAGGGGCCAAGCGUUGUCCGGAUUCAUUGGGCGUAAAGAGCUCGUAGGCGGUUCAGUUAGUCGGGUGCGAAAUCUCCGGGCUCAACCCGGAGGGGCCACCCGAUACUGCUGUGACUCGAGUCCGGUAGGGGAGUGGGGAAUUCCUGGUGUAGCGGUGAAAUGCGCAGAUAUCAGGAGGAACACCGGUGGCGAAGGCGCCACUCUGGGCCGGUACUGACGCUGAGGAGCGAAAGCGUGGGGAGCAAACAGG